rnacentral:lncRNA from 1 species
GGAAGCAACAAUUUUUAACAUAGUUGGUUGCAGAAAGAAUCUCUAUUCUAAUUAAUCAAAGAGUUCUUGCUGUUAGCAAAGAAGUAAAAAUAUUCAACCCAUAUUUUUACACCUAUAAACUGUUGAUUGGAUAUCCCAUUUAUUUUUAUUAAAUUCACAUGUCACAUUUAUAACUAUCAACAGAUAAUCGAAGAAUUGUCAGUACUAUCACAUCUACUGACACAAGCUAGAAAGAGCGUUAUCUAUAGUUAACAUGCAUGAGCUGUGUACAUUAAAGUUGUCUAUUUUGAGAUACUCCAUCCUUUCGAUAUUCCAAUCUUUCCUCCUCUCCAUUUCAGGCUGAUCAUAUCCCCCACAUUAAAUGGUGCUCCAAUCUGAUCUAAUUAAAUGGUGUUCCAAUCUGAUCUAAGGCCUAAAUUGGGUGUGUGCAAAAUGCUACCAAAAUUAUUUGAGGAUCUCUAUUCUUACAUAUGGCAUCAUAAUUUUUUUUUUUUUGUACCUAGGAUCAAACUCAGGUCCUUGCACUUGCGCAGCAGGCAGCGAAACCACUGAGGUCAAUCCCCAGCCCUGGCAUCAUAAUAUUUUAUUACAAUGGCCUCCAUGAAGAAAGUUUCAUAUUUAUCCAAGAGGCCAAAAUUCAAUGACUGGCUCUCAAGAAGACUAGGAAGGAGUGGAUAAAGUAUUCCUCACCCACUUUGACUUAGGAGGAGCCACGAAGAGAGACCACAGACUCUUAAAGAGAUAAAGCCAGGCGCAGAGAGAAUGAGCAGGCUGUCUUGGGAGCACGCGAACCUCUUCUUGGGGGGAGAGGUUAGAAAGCAGACACAGACUCCUAGGCCAGGAGCUACGGCAUCCUCCGGCUCCAGCGGAG